UGCACACCCAAAGCAGAGCUGUGCACGCACACUCUGGCUGGGCCUUGUUUUUACUGGCAGGUUUGAUCAGAUGCCUUUCUGGGGUCACGGAGCUCUUAUCUGCUUUUGGAUAUCUGAAUAUGUCGUUCCGCAGAGAAAAAAAAGCAGCGGAAGGAGCCUGCGUUCUGUGCCGAGACAUCCCGGAGGAAGACUCUGCUCAGGACACAGCCUUGGAAACUCUCUGAGACACCCUUUGCAAAUGAAAAAUAAUCAGUUGUUAUGUUUGGAAUCACAGAUUCAGAGUGCACAAGCCAGGAGAGACCUUAGAGGUUAUAGUCACACAUGCCCCUUUUUAUAGUAAAGUAUACUGUAGGUCUGGGAAGAUGGCCUCAUAGGUCAAGCACUAGUCGUUUAAGUGGAAGGACCAGGGUUCAAAUCCCCAGUGCCCACAUAAAGCCAGGCAUGGCAUCUGCAAUCCUUUUGUAGUGAGAGACGGAGACAGAACAAUCCUUGCAAGCUCUUAGGUUGGCUAGACUGAGGUACUCAGUGGCAAACAGCAGCAGAGAGACAAGAUGGAAGGUGAAGACCGACACCCGAAGUUAUGCUUUGACCUCUACAUUUGCACUCUGGCAUUUGUGAGUCCCGCACUCAAAACAUACAAGCAGCACCCUUCUCCCUGCCUCCCUACCUCCCUCUUUCCCUCCCUCCAUACACAGGCACGUAAAGAAAUUUUAAAGUAUUGUAUUAAAGGACCAGAGAGCUGGCUCAGUGGUUAAGAGCACUGGCUGCUCUUUCAGAGGACCUGGGUUCCAUUCCCAGCAACCCCAUGGUGGCUCACAACCAUCUGUAUCUCCAGUUCCGGGGAAUCUGAUGCCCUCUUCUGGCCUUUAUGGGCACUGCAUGAACAUGGUGCAGGGACAUGACCGCGGGCCACACCAGUACACAUAAAAUACAAAUAAAUACAUCUCAAGAGCAUGUUGAACUGAUGCAGGAGAAACAUCGUGGGGACUAGGAAGGAUUGUUUCUGCAUCUACGAACCUCAGUUUGCUACCUACGAAACAGGUUAGUCAUGGCACUCAGCCAGUAGGACAAACAAGCCAUAAACUGCUGGCAUUUUUCCUGCCCUUGAACCCACCACAUGCUUUACGAGGAGGAAAGCUUGAAGCUCUGUUCAGUGCCUUCCCUCAGCUUCUCCCUGAGUCAAUCAACAUUCCUACUUAGGAGGGAACAAGGAGGUUCUGAAAUUGUCUCGAAAGAGAAUUAAUGCCACUGAAGCCCCGUGCUUGCCGAUGUGGAAGGAGAUCGGAGCGACUGACUUCUCCUGGGAACGGCGACGCGUGGCGGCAGUGGAUGUAGACACAGAAUCACGUUUAGUAGUUCACAGGACAGCUUGCCCGCUGGGCACCUGCUUUUUAAAUAGAAAGCAUGAACAACAUUCCCAUACAAAGAAAACACAGGCUUUGCACCUCAGCCAGCUUGCUGGCUCUUCCCUUAAGAGUACUCGGUCCCCUCCACCCCCGAAGAACAGGACUGCUAAGGUAAUACGCCGAAUCACAACAAAUGUAUGCAGCGCAGCCAGUUACUCCUGUGGCAUCUCAGCUUUUAGCGAAUAAUUUGCUAAAAUUCCACAGGCCAGGAGGUGCUUUGAAGGCCGCCUGGGAGCCUGAUGGGCUGAGAGUGAAAAGGCACAGCUGUGACAGCUGGGAGAGAGGUUGCCACUGAUCUGCUCCCCCAGCACCCCAGCAGGAUCCAGCCAGCCUCACUCAGCUGCCAGUUUGGACUCUUCCUUGAACCGGUGUCCUGAGAAGGGCAUCUCACUUCUUGCAGAACUCACUUUACUAAAUAUAUUUAAGUGAGGGGAGGGGAAAUUUAAGGAAAGGAGACCAUGUUAGCGAACCUUCCCUAAACCCACAUCACAUAUAAAUCCUCUGCUGUUUCACUAGGCAUCUGGAUGAGGGCUGAUGAUACUGUUUGUUCUUUACUUUUGGGGGAGCUGAACUUGACCAAAGUGGGGGAAUUCGUGUAUUUUCCAUGCCUUUUUUUUAAUGGUUCAUCAGAAAAACAUUUUAAGAUCUGUACUAUGAAGCUCCUUGCCGGCAACCACACUUACAUCAUACAGCUGGCAAAGGAACGAGCUGACUCUGAGGCUGCCAUGGAGACGGCAUCUGGUACAAGACUCACUGGGCGAUAGCACACCAGCAAGAUGACAGCCGCCAAGUCCGUGGUGUGUAUGUGCUGUGCGCCACACUGAAAACCACGGAGAAGAGGAAUCGGCUAGUCCACCCUUACCGCCACCCUGUGGGACACUGUCAUUUCAAAGUCGUUUUUAUUACCGUGAUUAUUUCUAUGUACAGAUGACACUUUGUAGUAUAUUUUAGAAUAUAAGUUCAAGUGCCUACACUUAUACACUUUGACUAAAGGCCUGAGCUCGUUUGCUUGAAAAUGUGGAAGUCUCUGGUGAGUAAUCUUACCUGACUAAUUCACAUGUAAACGAACUACCCAUGCUCCACUCUUUACCAAGUUAAAAAAUAGGCACUGAAGGCCCAGCUGCCCAGGAAGAACGAGGGAAUGUUUGCUGGGCUCCGGGACCCCACUGGGAAGGGAUGCCGCCAGCCGCUCCGCUCCGUGCCUCUUGUCCUGUGCCCCCUUCUAGCCUAGCACUUGAGUCCACUUGUACCACUGAGGCCAAUGACAGCAGCAGCUCUACUUACAGAUUCGUCUCCCUGUGGAUGGACACUUUCCAAAACUGUAGGAUAUUGCCAACCAUUUAACAUCUGCUCAGGAAACUGAGAUGAGGACUAUGUUGCUGUAAAGGUCUGUGUGUGUGUGUGUUUCUGUGUGUGUGUAAUAGUGUAGGCUCAUGUAUGUGUGUUUCUGUGUGUGUGUAAUAGUGUAGGCUUGUGCAUGUGUGCUUAUGUGUGUGUGUGUGUACUAAUUUAAGCUCAUGCAUGUGUGUGUGUAAUAGUGUAGGCUCAUGCAUGCAUGUACACACAGAAGUCAGAGAUCAAUACAGAAUGUCUUCAUCUAUCAUACUCCUUUUUUUUUCUUUACAUUUUAACUGUGUGGGUGUGUGCACACGAAUGUGGGUGCCCAGGAAGUCCAGAGGCAUCAGAUCCCCCCGGAGCUGGAGUUGCAGACAGUUGUGAGCAGCUCUACAUGGGUGCUGAGAGCUGAACUCGGUCCUCUAGAUGAGCAGAAUGUGCUCUUCACUGGUGACGCAUCAGUGCAGCCCACCUUGUUUUUGAGACAGGGUUUCUUACUAAACUGGAGCUCACUGAUUGGCUAGACCCAACAUCUUCCGGUUUCCCCUUGGCGCAAGCUGCCACAUUUACACAGCAUUUGCAUGGAUGCUAGGAAUCCACACUCAGGCCUUCAUCUUGUCCGCUGCACCAUCUCUGCAGCCCUGUCCGGGAAAUGAUGACACUGAGGUACCCACACCAUAAACACAGAGAGGUCCAGCCUGGAGAAAAUCCUCAUCUUCAAGGUGGUGGAAGAGUAGUACUUGGUUUAUGCACAUUUUGUACAAGUGCAGCCUGCUGGGUAGGAAGUGAAAAAAAUCAAGUGAUCACACACCUGCAUUGUUCUGAGCAGUUAGUUACAGGAAGAAAAGAAAGAUCCUCCAAGGACCUUGCUCUGCUCUCCUGCAUUUUGAUGGCAGGGGAAACCAUCCCUUGAUUUUUAAGCAACAUAGGAAUUAAAAACCCCCACGAUGGACUCAGACACCUUCUGACCUCAUCUUGCACCUUCACUUUUAGCCAUGUCAGUGGUCCUGGGGCAGAUUUUUCUGUUGUUUCUUUGUCUUGUUUUUUUAAGACAGGGCUUAAAAAAAACUCUGUGUAGCCCCGGCUAUCCUGGAACUGGUUGCAUAGAUCAAACUCAGAGAUCUCUCUGCCUCUGCCUCCUGACUAAAUGCAUGCACCAUCACAUCUGGCUCCUGGAGAGGAUUUAAAAUUAGUAACUUAAAACCUUACAACAUGCUGUACCUCAUUAAAUCUAAGAUGCCAUGGUCAGAAACUUCAGAAUUUGUGUGUCACCAAGAAAGACUUGGGUUGGGUGUGGCACAAGCCUAUGAUUCAAGAGCCUGAGCUCCACAGGAAGACUGCAUCUGUGAACUCAGGAGACUGAGAAUGAUCAACUUUCCAUCUUCACUUUUCAGUGAAGAUGGGACCUAUGCACCCAAUUGUUUCCCAUCAACCCGAGCGCCUUUGAAUGCAUGCAUCAGUUAGAUUUUCCAGUUCUGCAAAGGCAGAUUCCCCUGAUUUCUCACCUGUCUAGGAAGGCAGCUUUCCUGUUGGCUCCAGGCCCCCACUUCAAGUUCCUCUGAGUAUCACCCAGUCACCUGGGUGAUUUAUAAAGAGCUUUUGCCUUUUAGUCUGAAUCCUUUUCCUCAACGACGACAGCCAUCCCUCUCCAGCUAAGGUAAGAAGUCCCCUGAAGUGGAAGAGGGGGCGUCUUCAAAACCAUGGGAUGAAUAGAGCACAGUACCCCAAAGAGUUAAUUUUGUGCAAUCUAAGCAAUUUAUGACGUGUGUGGUUUUUAUUCAAUAUCCAGUAUGGAGUAGGAUGAUCAAUUGAGUUCAUUUUUAUGCUAAAACAGUUCAAAGAAAUUUCAUUGUUUAUCCGGGCAUGGUGGUGUAGUCCCAGCACUCAGGAGGCUAAAGUAGACGUUCUGUGCCAGUGUGGGCCAUGAAAUAAGGUCUUGUUUUGAACAGCCAAGGGGUAGGAGUGAGCUUAGUGGUUGAGUGCUUUGCCUACUACGCGUGAUGCCCUGGGGGUUUGAUUUCCAGCACCAUGAAAACCAAAACAAACCAGCCAAAAGGAAUCAUUCCAGGGCUUUUGCUUCCCUACUCUGUGUGAUUGGAACAAUACCUGCUCUGGCUUCAGGAUUCAUCUGUGAGCUGAAAAGCCACAUUUUCAUCUCUACAUUCUUUUAAAAAAUGUUUGUUUGUUUAUGUGCACCUGCAGAGUUUAUGCGCACCACAUGCAUAGAGGUGCUUCUGGAGGCCAGAAGAGGGCAUCAGAUCCCUAGGAACUGGAGUUAUAAGUAGUUGUGAGCCACCUGACCUGGGUGCUGUGAACCAAACUUGGGUCCUUUUAACUGAUGAGCCCUCUCUCCAGCUCCUAUUCUUUUUAAAAAAGUUCAUAAAAAGUUUAUUUACUGUUGUGGGAAAUUUUGAUCACACUCUGACACCCCCGAGACUGGAAAUAAAGUUUACUUUGAACCAGAGGGUAGAGCUAGCUACUUCCUGACCAAAAUUAGCCAUAGAGGUUUUGGAGGACCAAGAGCAUAUAGAGAGACACAGGAAGUAGUAGGGAGGGGUUUAGAAAGAUUCUCGGGCCUUUUGGAGUGAAGAUAGAUAAAGAAAGAGGAGGUCACUGGUCACUUCCCUGCCGCUCCUCUGAUUAUUCAGGUUCUUACCCCCAUAUCUGACACCCAAGUUUUUAUUGAUGAAGGAGUAAUUGGAUAAACGCUUCAUCUGGCGUCCAACAUGGGCCACAAGAUCACGAGGCAGCCACUGGCCACCAGCUUUGCAGCCUCCAGAGUGACCACUGUAGCUGGCUUUCCCUCCCUCCCCAGGCCCUCCAUGGGAGUCUGGGAUUUUCCCAUUGCAGCCUCUCGACAGCAGCCUCCAGCUGCCCUCUGUCUCCAGCUCCAAAUGCCACAUGCUGCUGGGCUCCAAAUGCCCCCGGAGUUAGCCACUUCUUCUGCAUGUCCCCCUGUGUUGGCUUUUCAGGCGGCUGGCUUCCUCUCUCCGUAAGUUGUGGGCUUCCUCUGGACCCCCUCCAUGGGCCGCUGCCUCGCCAUUCUGCUGCCUACACCUGCUUGGGCUUUUACUGCUGCCGCCACCACCACACACUCUUUCAGCCCUUCAGCUGCCCUUGGCCAGGCUGUGCACAGCUUGUGUUCUCUGUCCAGCUGUGUGGCACAGAGGCAGCCAGCCUCACGCUUCGCUGUCGUCAUCAGCAGAUCUGGGGAGAUACCUGGGAGUUCUUUUUUUUUCCCCUCAAAGAUUUAUUUAUUUAUUAUGCAUUCAGCAUGUUGCCCACAUGCCAGAAUAGGGCACUAGACCAAAUUACGGAUGGUUGUGAGCCACCAUGUGGUUGCUGGGAAUUGAACUCAGGGCUCUUAACCUCUGAGCCAUCUCUCCCAUCCCAGCACCUGGGAAUUCUUAAAGGGGGAAUUAGGUUUUUUUUGUUUUGUUUUUGUUUUUAAAAAAGAGUUUUUCACCGGCCAUAGUGGCACAGCGUGUCUCAAAAAUCAAAACAAAACAAAACAAACAAACAAACAAGAAAAGUUUUCCCCCAUGUUAAGAACAGGGAACAAUAUUACAAUGCAGGGAGUUAGGUGGCUGUAUGAUUCCACAGUGGAUGUUUUGAAAAUGGAAAAAUUAAAUGAAGGGAUAAUCAGUUUAGCUGGGAUUGAUACAAUGUUGAUUAUAAUCAUUAUCAAUUUGGUAAUUCAUGUUUUAUCCUUUAAAAAAUGGUUUGAUACCAGUGCCAAAUACGAAAAAUUGAUUGAUAAGAUUCAAUUCUUAGAAAGACCUACUAAUGAAACUAAGAAAAAUAUUCACACACAGACAAAGGAGUUUAUAGCAGAACCUACCUCACCAAUGGAACAUGGAACUGAAGAGGAGCAGCCCAAGGUUAUUAGAAAUCCAACCUUAAUUUAUCCAGUUACCAUAAAAGAAUGACCACCAGAUGAUAGGCAUACCCAAGGCUAUUCAGAAGUUAACUGAUAUCCUAGAGAAAUGUUAGAUUUGAAGAGAUUUAAGGAAGCAAUGGUUUCAUGUGAUAUGCAUUCACCUUUUGUAAAGCAGAUGUUAAAUUCAUGGGCCAGUCAGAACAGAAUUAUUCCACAAGACUGGAAAGAUUUAACUACAGCAAUAUUGGAAGCUGGUCCUCAGUUGCAAUGGAAAACAUGGUGGAGAGAGGAAGUUAGGGUCAUAGAACAAUGAAGUAUGGCUAGAGGUAUGGUGAUAUUUUAUUUGUACUAAAAUGUGAUUUUAUUUGUAUGUUAAUAAAUAAAGUUGCCUGGGGGUCAGAGCUGAUAGGAAGCCAUAGCAGAAGUCUGGCAGUGGUAGCACAUGCCCUUAAUCCCGAUCAUAUGACAGGCAGAUCUCUGUGUGUUCAAGGAUACCACCAGCAUGGAGACACACACCUUUAAUCUCAAUACCAACCAUAGAAGACCUGGAGGUCUGUAUAGACGGGCAGUGAUAAGGAGGUCAUGUGGUCGGGUUUACAACCAAUGAGAAGGCAGAACAGAAAGUCUAUAAAAAGACAGAUACACAGGAAGUAGCACUCUUGCUGAGAGGAAGGACAGCAGUGGCAGUGAAGGGUAGGCUCAGCUCUCAGCUACUGCUCUGACCUCUUGGGCUUUUAACUCUGCAAUUGGCUCUGUGUUUCUUAUUUAAUAAGACUGUUCAUCUACACUAGAGGUAUUGAAACUUUUUGGUGAAGGCCAAUAUGCUGAUUUGCAAAGAAAGAUCACAUUUGGUGAGCAUACCUUGACUCUAUGCCAUAUAGCAGCUUUGGGACAAGGUUGAAGAAUCACCAAAGAGGACCGAGUCACUAAAAUUACACAAGGCCCAAAAGAAGCCUUCACUGAUUAUUUUUUUUUUUAAUGAGGAUUGACCUCAGCUGUAAAUAGAAUGAUAGCAGAUCCAGAAGUUAGACAAAUAUUAAUUGAAUCUUUGGCUUUUGAAAAUGCUAAUGCAGAAUGCAAAAGGGUGAUUAGGCCUUUAAAGGCAAGAUCAGCACCAAUAGUUGAAUGGAUCCAAAAUACAGCUGAUUUUGGAUCUCACACUUAUGAUGACACUUGAAUAGGAGAAGUGAUUUCCAAAAAUUUUAAGAAAAAUAAAAAGGUUAGAUUUUGUUUUGUUUUUGUUUUUCAAGACAUGGUUCCUCUGUUUAGUCCUUGCUGUCCUGGAACUCACUUUGCAGACCAGGCUGGCCUCAAACUUAGAGAUCCUUCUGCCUCUGCCUCCCAAGUGCUGGGAUUAAAGGCAUGUGCUACCACUUCCCAGCAAAGUUAGAUAUUUUAAUUGUGGUAAACCAGGUCAUCUAAAAAAAGAUUGUAGGCAAGGCAUUCCUAGAAACAAUGUUUUUUCUAGAGAUGACCCAAACAGAAGGCCCCAGCCUUCUGGAAUAUGCAGAAGGUGCAGCAAAGGCCAGCACUAGACUAAAGGAUGCAGAUUAACAUGGGACAGGCAAGGUAACACUUUGUCAUCAUGAAACACCUUACGGACCUGCUUGCAGGACCCCCAUGUCAAAUUUUGUUCAAUCAUUUCCUGUCAGCACUGGGGAAAUUACAUCACAGAGCAAUUAAAAGACCUAAUGCCUGUUAUGAAAAAAACAUACUGCUCUCGAUAGCGGAACAGCUUCAGUAGAUAAAAUAACAUUUUCAGGAGAGACCAUAAAACAAAUAUUUUGGCAAACUUCUUUGAAUGAUCAAAGACUAAAGCUAAAAAUACAAAUAAAUGGCACUGUGAUUAAAGGUUUACUGGACACAGGUGCAGAUGUAACAAUAAUUUCACCAAAAUCUUGGCAUCCAAAUUGGUCUCUUCAGGAGGUAAAUAUUCAGCUUCAAGAGAUUGGCUUGCAGGCAAAAUGAAAUGUAAGAUGGGUCAAGUGUAUAGGGCCAGAAGGACAGAUAGAAAAAUUAAAGUCAUAUGUGGCUAGCACAGCAAUGAAUUUAUGGGGAUGUGAUUUAUUACAACAGUAGAAAACCCAGAUUAACAUUCCUCUAACCUCAGAAAUAAACCAUAAACUAAUGUAUGCUUCUGAGAAUGAUAUUAAAAGAUAUUUGCAAAAACAGUCACCAACUGUUCAGGUUGUACAUAAGCAGGGCACAACAGCUGCCAAUCUCUCAAAGGUACCAACAGCCCUAGCUUUAAAAUGGUUAACUGAUAAACUUGCCUGGAUGGAACAAUGGCUUUAGGCAUCAGAAAAAUUACAGGCAUUAGAACAGCUGAUACAGGAGCAACUAAAAGUUCAACAUGUUGAAGAAUCGACCAGUCUUUGGAAUUCUUCUAUAUUUGUUAUUAAAAAGAAAUCUGGAAAAUGGAGAAUGGGAACAGAUCUAAGAGUUAUUAAAUCUCUGAAAAGAUGAUGGGGCCCCAUAAUGCCAAUUCCAUCUGAACUGUGGUAAUGCCAUUAAGCUGACAAAAACUACCCAAAGAUCAGUUUCGGACUAUAAGCUGUUCAGGACAAUUUCAAGGCAGUUAGCUAAAAUGGCCCAGCCUCAUAGACUACUCCAGCCAGGACUUCAGAUAAACCCUGCACUUUCCCAUCACACCGAGACUGGACAACAGCUAGCUCUCCCAGGAUUUGACUAUGAUCUCAAUUUUCUCAGGGUCCCCUAAAGAUGUCAUCACCCCCAGACAAUGGGAAGUAAUUUUAAGAACAGGGUGUCCACAUUCCCAAGAGGUGGGAUGGGAGAUUUUUGGUCAUUUUGUGGAUUCUGGCUAUUUAUCAUCAUUUAGGGGAUUGGUUACAAGUUGUUAUUGGUCAUAGUCAGGGAGAAAACUAAGUAAAGGAGAUUAGAUUCGGGGAUCUCAUUAUGAAAAGAAAAAAACGGGAUAUAGGAAUGGUAGGAUAAAAGGGUAGAUUAUUGAAUCUACUUUUAAACUAAAAAAGUAACUACUAGUCUUAAAUAGUUUACAUUGGUAUGGAUUUUUGUGUAUUGAUACAAACUUAAGGUUACUUUUGUUAUUCUGUAUAUAUGUUUCUACUCUUGUUUAAGAUAUUUUUGUUUAUUGAUACAAAUUUAAGGUUAUUUUUGUUUUAACAUACUGUAUAUGUUCCUACUCUUGUUUAAGGUAUUGUAUCUAUGCAGAUCAUUUUAAAAUGUAAUGUAAAGUACUAGUCCUUAAAGGCUAUUAUUAAAAUAUGGUGAUAUAUUUGUAAUCUAAGAAAUAAAGCUUGCCUGAAUAUCAGAGAACAGAGCCAGCCACAGAGUUAGCCACGGAGGUCAGGCAGUGGUGGCACACACCUUUAAUCCUAGUGCUUGGGAGGCAGAGGCAGAGAUCUGUCUGGAUUUCUGUGAGUUCAAGUCCACACUGGACUACAUGGGAUUAAUCCAGUCUAAAAGAGGAAGAGCCAGGCAGUGGUGGCACACACCUUCAAUUCCAGCACUUGGGAUCACACAACUUUAAUCCCAACACUAGGAAGGUUGAGACAGGAAGUGAUGUGGCUGGGCAGAGAAAGGAAUAUAAGGUGGGAGGAGACAGGAACUCACACUCUUACAGAGGCUCUGUCAGGCUGAGGAGUUGGUGCGGUAAGAGGCGGUAGCUAUGGCUUGCUCUGCUUCUCUGAUCUUUCAGCUUUCACCCUCA